GGGUGGUAAUGCCGGAUGCUCCGACUCCUCGCAUGGGGUGUCGGGAAAGAUUUCAUCGGUAUGGGAUGGGGUCGCGUCCUAUCAGGUAGUCGGCGGGGUAACGGCCCACCGAGCCUACGACGGGUAGCCGGCCUGAGAGGGCGACCGGCCACAUUGGGACUGAGAUACGGCCCAGACUCCUACGGGAGGCAGCAGUGGGGAAUAUUGCACAAUGGGCGCAAGCCUGAUGCAGCGACGCCGCGUGCGGGAUGACGGCCUUCGGGUUGUAAACCGCUUUUGAUCGGGAGCAAGCCUUCGGGUGAGUGUACCUUUCGAAUAAGCACCGGCUAACUACGUGCCAGCAGCCGCGGUAAUACGUAGGGUGCAAGCGUUAUCCGGAAUUAUUGGGCGUAAAGGGCUCGUAGGCGGUUCGUCGCGUCCGGUGUGAAAGUCCAUCGCUUAACGGUGGAUCUGCGCCGGGUACGGGCGGGCUGGAGUGCGGUAGGGGAGACUGGAAUUCCCGGUGUAACGGUGGAAUGUGUAGAUAUCGGAAAAAGAACACCA
rnacentral:rRNA from 1 species